rnacentral:tRNA from 1 species
UCCGUUGUCGUCCAGCGGUUAGGAUGUCUGGCUUUUACCCAGGAGAGGGUUCGAUUCCCGGCAACGGAA